GCACCGCAGCUGCAGUAAAUCCUCACACCGAAGAAGACGUUCUCCUCCGUUGUGAAGUGACCUCUGGUGCUGUCAGUCUCUCUACCACGAUGGUUCCCCCAGUUGCAGUGUCGCCUCUGAUAAAGACCGCAAGGUAUUCAGCUCUGAUUGCCGGCAUCAUCUAUGGCAAACAGAGAUAUGAGUACCUGAAGCCUCUUGGGGUUGAGGAUAAGAGGAUAGCAGAGGAGGAGAAAAAGGCUCUUGUGGAGAAGAUUCGCAUCGCCAAGGAGAUCGAAGCAAAUCAAGAAAGUAUCCUGAAGUAAAGCAGAUGAAGAUCUCCAUGUAAUAUUCCCAACCUCUCCCUUCUUCUUCCUGGAAUAACAACAGCCCAGUAGCCUUUAGUCAAACACUUCCUGUUUUCUGGAUGCAUUCAUGGUUACCUUGUAUAUUACAACCCCUCCCUGGAUUGCCAGAUGCAGUGAUUUUAAGUUAACCAUCUUGAACUCGGCAUUGUAAUACUUGAAAUGCAACCUCACUCAAAAGAUAAUAAAGUGUUUGUAAUGAAACAAUGUCAUAAAUACAAAUUGAAAUGAU